UCCCUGGUGGCUCAGACGGUAAAGAUUCUGCCUGCCAUGCAGGAGACCCAGAUUCAAUCCCUGGGUUGGGGAA
rnacentral:tRNA from 1 species